rnacentral:rRNA from 1 species
GAUGAACGCUGGCGGCGUGCCUAAUACAUGCAAGUCGAGCGAACAGAUGAGGAGCUUGCUCCUCUGACGUUAGCGGCGGACGGGUGAGUCACACGUGGAUACCCUCCCUAUAAGACUGGGAUAACUUCGGGAAACCGGAGCUAAUACCGGAUAAUCUAUUGAACCGCAUGGUUCAUUAGUGAAUGACGGUUUUGCUGGCUCUUCUCGAUGGAUACCCGCCGCAUUAGCUGGUUGGUAAGGUAACGGCUUACCAAGGCAAGGAUGCGUAACCGACCUGAGAGGGUGGUCGGCCACACGGGAGGUGAGACACGCACCAGACGCCUACGGGAGGCAGCAGUAGGGAAUCGGACGCAGUGGGCGAAAGCAUGACGGAGCAGCCGCGCGUGAGUGAUAGAGGUCUUCGGAGCGUAAAACUCUGUUAUGAGGGAAGAACAAAUGUGGAAGGAACUAAGCACUGCUUGACGGUACCUGAUCAGAAAGCCACGGCUAACUACGUG